UACGUAGGGUCCGAGCGUUGUCCGGAAUUAUUGGGCGUAAAGAGCUCGUAGGCGGUUUGUCGCGUCUGCUGUGAAAUCCCGAGGCUCAACCUCGGGCCUGCAGUGGGUACGGGCAGACUGGAGUGCGGUAGGGGAGAAUGGAAUUCCUGGUGUAGCGGUGAAAUGCGCAGAUAUCAGGAGGAACACCGGUGGCGAAGGCGGAUCUCUGGGCCUUGCCUGACGCUGAGGCGCGAAAGCUAGGGGAGCGAACAGG
rnacentral:rRNA from 1 species